rnacentral:sRNA from 1 species
UAAUAUCCAGAAGUAAGCCAUCAUCAA